rnacentral:rRNA from 1 species
AACGAACGCUGGCGGCAUGCCUAACACAUGCAAGUCGAACGAGACCUUCGGGUCUAGUGGCGCACGGGUGCGUAACGCGUGGGAACCUGCCCUUAGGUUCGGAAUAACUCCCCGAAAGGGGUGCUAAUACCGGAUAAUGUCUUCGGACCAAAGAUUUAUCGCCUUUGGAUGGGCCCGCGUUGGAUUAGCUAGUUGGUAGGGUAAAAGCCUACCAAGGCGACGAUCCAUAGCUGGUCUGAGAGGAUGAUCAGCCACACUGGGACUGAGACACGGCCCAGACUCCUCGGGGGGGCAGGAGUGGGGAAUUUGGGAAAAGGGGCGAAACCCGGACCCAGAAAGGCCGGGGGAGGGAGGAAGGCCUUAGGGUUGUAAAGCUCUUUUACCCGGGAUGAAAAUGCCAGUACCGGGAGAAAAAGCCCCGGUUAACUCCGU